CCGUCAAGACACUGCCGUCUUUACACCGACGUCACGACACCGCCGUCUCGUCACCGCCGUCACUACACUGCCGUCACGACACUGCUGUCACGACACUGCCGAAUUACUGUUUUGUUGACACAACAGGACUUCGUUUACCGUUUCCAGGAAGAUCCAAGAGAAGACUUUCAACCGGAAUUUCGAAUUCAGCUGUUUUCUCCUAGCGGGAGGAGGAAGGUGAAGAAGUAGCUGGCUGGAGAAGGCAAAGCCACCAGAAUAAGACGUCCCUUCCCUGGAGUUGUGUUCUGAGGAGCAUCCUGCUGCCUGGCCAGAACUGCGUGUCCACAGGCGCUGCGCACAGGGGACAUCAUCCCAAACCCAGGAACAAAGACUCAUUUACUGAGAAAGUGCCAGGUGCCAGCUCCUUACAUAAGCAUUUGCCGGCUUUCAGCCUAUGCUGACACGUAUGGGUCGCCUGUAUCUUUUUAUCCAUUUCACAGCUUCACCUGUGUACGUCUUGAUCUCUCUGACGGGAACUCCUUCCCAGUCACCAGGCAAACUCAAUUAAAAGUCACCUAAAUGCCCUCUCCUGCAUGAAGCCCUCAGCAGCCCAAAGAAGAGAACUGUAGUUAUGAUACUCUUUGCGUUGCAGGGAAGUUAUUGCUUCUCUGUCUGUCCACUGCUGGACACAUGAUGUUUUUCCAGAGCAGGACACUUCCCAGAAUCCCCUGGAGAGCACCAAGGGGAGUGGGGGUAGAGUCAGCUGUAACACUGAAGAGAGUGAGAAGCAGUGGCAGAGAAACAGCGUCAAGAGAGACCUGCAGGAGAUGGCAUAGUGGGCUUCCUAGCCGACGGAGUGAGAAAGCUGAGUGCCUUCAGGCAGGAAGUUUGCUGGUGGAGUAGGAUGCCUCUGGGCACUUGGUGGAGGGCAGAGGCUGAGGGGCCAGAAAGAAGUGUGCCUGUGGGCACAGCUGAGA